AUGGGAAAAUCGUGCGGCAGCGGGACAUGCUUUUACAUCAACGAAAGGUGGUGUACAGAUGUAACAGUGUUAAAGAAGAUGUGCUGUUUAGAUCUAGAAACACUCUUCAUUAACUGCAAGCCGUUAUAUUCGCAGCGGGAGUUUCACUCGUUCAUUCUGGUGAGUGUUUACAUCCCUCCACAAGCGCACGUGAGCCUGGCUUUACAGAAACUCGCUGAUCAGAUCACAGAGACAGAACAACAACACCCUGACUCUGUUUUAAUCAUUCCCGGGGACUUUAAUAAAGCAAAUCUCUCCCGUGAACUGCCAAAAUACAGACAGCACAUCACAUGUCCCACCAGAGACAGUAAUAUAUUGGAUCACUGUUACACCACAAUAAAGGAUGCAUAUCACUCUGUUCCACGAACAGCUUUGGGGCGCUCUGAUCACUGUCUGGUUCAUCUUAUACCGACCUACAGACAGAAACUAAAAUCAGCUAAACCUGUAUUAAGGACUGUAAAAAGAUGGACCAAUGAAGCAGAGCAGGAUUUACAAUCUUGUUUUGACCUCACUGAUUGGAGUGUUUUUGAAGCUGCUGCCACCGAUCUGGACGAGCUCACAGAGACUGUAACAUCUUAUAUCAGUUAUCUUAUACCGACCUACAGACAGAAACUAAAAUCAGCUAAACCUGUAUUAAGGACUGUAAAAAGAUGGACCAAUGAAGCAGAGCAGGAUUUACAAUCUUGUUUUGACCUCACUGAUUGGAGUGUUUUUGAAGCUGCUGCCACCGAUCUGGACGAGCUCACAGAGACUGUAACAUCUUAUAUCAGUUUCUGUGAGGAUAUCUGUAUUCCUACCAGGACUCAUCUAACUUACAACAAUGACAAAACGUGGUUCACUGCAAAACACAGACAACUCCGUCAGGCCAAGGAAGAUGCUUACAGGAAGGGGGACAAUGUCUUGUAUAAACAGGCUAAAUACACACUGGAAAAGGAGAUCAGAGUGGCAAAGAGGAAUUAUUAUGAAAAAAUAAGGACUCGGUUCACUUCCAGCGACUCAGCAUCAGUGUGGAAAAGUCUGAAAGAGAUCACCAAUUACAAGACACCAUCCCCCAGCACUGUGGAGAAUCAACAACUGGCAGACGAUCUGAACGACUGCAGGUUUGAAAGAACACCCAUCACCUGCCCUGAACACCUCUCCACACAACCGUUCACACCAUUCACACCCAUUGCAACCCGCCCUGAACACCUCUCCAAACAACCGCUCACACCAUUCACACCUCCUGCAAAUCCCCUCUCCCCCACACCUGCAAUUCAUAUCAGCAAAGAGGAGGUGCGCCAGGUCUUCUGGAAGCAGAAAAGGAAAAAAGCACCAGGCCCAGACUGUGUUACACCAGCUUGUCUGAAAUCCUGUGCUGACCAGCUGGCCCCCAUCUUCACACAGAUCUUCAACAGAUCACUGGAGCUGUGUGAAGUCCCUUCAUGCUUCAAACGCUCCACCAUCAUCCCCAUCCCAAAGAAAUCCAAAAUUACAGGACUAAAUGACUAUAGGCCUGUGGCUUUAACGUCUGUGGUCAUGAAGUCAUUUGAAAAACUGGUGCUGGCCCACCUGAAGGACAUUACUGGACCCUUGCUGGACCUUCUUCAGUUUGACUACAGAGCAAACAGGUCUGUGGACGAUGCAGUAAACAUUGGACUGCAUUAUGUUCUGCAACAUCUAGACAGACCGAGGACUUAUGUGAGGAUCCUGUUUGUGGACUUCAGCUCAGCCUUUAACAAGAUCAUCCCAAACCUCCUCCUCCCCAAACUAACUCAGCUCUCCGUGUCCACCUCCGUCUGUCAGUGGAUCAACAGCUUCCUGACAGACAGGCAACAGCUAGUGAGGCUGGGAAAAUACACAUCCAGCACCCGUAUAACCAGCACUGGAGCUCCCCAGGGCUGUGUUCUCUCCCCACUGCUCUUCUCCCUGUACACUAACGAUUGCACAUCUAAGGACCCCUCUGUCAAGCUCCUGAAGUUUGCAGACGACACCACACUCAUCGGUCUCAUUCAGGACGGUGACGAGUCUGCUUACAGACAGGAGGUUAAAGAGCUGGCUGUCUGGUGCAGUCUCAACAACCUGGAGCUUAACACACUCAAAACAGUGGAGAUGAUCGUGGACUUUGAAGCUGAAUUACAGGAAAUGAGAGAACUAGUGGCCCAGUUGAAGGCUGAUAAUGAGAGACUGCGACAGGAACGGGCACCGGUUGAGUUGCUUGAUCCUGGCGCAGCCUCUAGUAGUGUGUCACGGCCGGUAACUCCUAGUUCCGUCGACCCAAAUGUCGGUACCAUUGAGCGUUUUGUGUUUAUUCCCCGAGAACGGCAUUGUCCAAAAUUUAAUGGUAGGUCUGGUGUAGGCAUUGAAGAGUGGGUCGAAGAAGCUCAGGCGUGUAUGCGUAUGCGAACCAUGACUGUUGCUGAACAAGCUUUCUUUUUGUUUGAUCAUCUUGAAGGAGAGGCUCGGGAUGAAAUCAAAUAUAGACCGAGCAUUGACAAAGAUGAUCCAGAAAGAAUUAUUUCAGCACUGCGUGAGUUAUAUGGUUGCGCAGAAUCCUAUAUUGCUCUGCAGGAGACUGGGUUGCCAGCUGGCUUAUUGGCCUCCCCUUCUUUAGUGCGUGUUAAGGGUGGUACAGUUCUUGUUCCCGUCGUUAAUGUUGGUGUUCUUGAUGCUGUUUUAUAUCCCACAACCAUUCUUGGGAGGUUGUGGGAAGUGUGUCUAGUUGAUUCACCUGUCGGGCUGACCGAGGUAUCGCUGGCUAAUGCUCAGAUAGCGACCUGUGACACGAUCGUUGUGCCAGAAGCAGGGCAUGUUAAAAAUGUAGAAUUGCAAGGGUUGUCGGACGAGGAGCAGGAACAGGUAAGGGCUCUCCUUUUGGAAUUCCAGAGUGUGUUUUCCACUGGUGAGAGAGAUGUCAGGGGUACUGACCUCCUGUCUCAUAAAAUUCCGUUAAUUCACGAGACUCCAGUCCAACAACGCUAUAGACGAAUUCCUCCAUCCGAAUAUGAGUUGGUUAAGACUCAUAUUAGCCAGCUUUUAGAUUCACAAGUGAUUCGAGAAAGUUGCAGUCCAUAUGCCUCUCCAGUUGUCUUGGUUAAGAGAGAAGGACGGAGCCUACGCAUGUGCGUAGACUACCGUCAGCUAAAUGCUAAGACUCGAAGAGACUCCUUUCCAUUGCCGCGAAUUGAGGAGACACUAGAUUCUUUAACAGGGUCUCGCUGGUUUACCACGUUAGAUCUGGCCAGCGGAUAUAAUCAAGUCCCUGUUGCUGAAUCUGAUCGUUAUAAAACCGCUUUUUGUACACCUUUUGGGUUAUACGAAUGGAACCGUAUCUGUCUCUGCCUGUGCAACGCACCAGGCACUUUCCAACGCUUGAUGGAGCGGCUCUUUGGCGAUCAGCGACACCAGUCUGUCUUGUUGUAUCUCGACGACAUCAUUGUCUAUUCCUCAUCCGUGCAACACCAUCUGCAACGGCUAAGGAUGGUGCUGGAACGCCUAAGAGCUGCUGGCCUCAAGGUUAAGUUGGAAAAGUGCGCCUUUUUUAGGGAAGAGGUGCAGUACUUGGGACAUGUAAUAUCGUCCAAAAGGAGUAGCUACAGAUCCUGGUAA
rnacentral:lncRNA from 1 species